GAACUCUGGAAAUUAACCAAAGACUUACAGCAACCCAGUGACCAUUUAUUUGAGAAAAAUUGCUGAAUCUUGGGAGGGGUCAGGGUCCUUCUGCUGCAGUACAAAAGGCAUGUGUGCAGGCCAGCUGCCAGGAGAGACCCACAGGCCAUGGAGACUGACACCAACUACUGAAACUGAUCUUGCUCUGUCUCUUCUUGUGUGAAUAAAGCAUUGUUCCAUCCAGUGAUUGACUGAAUUGAAUUUUCUUUGGUGGCUCCAAUACCAAGAGGCAGUGGGCAGAAAUGCUCAGACUUCUACUCCUGAUAAUAGGCAACAGACAUCACCUGUUCAACAGAUUAAUUUUUGUGUUAAUAUGGUGAGAUACACUGGAUGAUUUCAAGUGU
rnacentral:lncRNA from 10 species